rnacentral:rRNA from 1 species
AUGGGCCACAUUCCUCGGCCCCCGAGCAUGAUUUCCCUCCUCGAGAUCCAUGUUGCCAAGGAGGGCUGGCACAUCCCCAAGAAACAAAGGCGCCUCCAUGGGCUUCGCAAGCCCGAUGUAACCUCGCUGCUCCAUGCUGCAGCGCGACUUGAGCCGAAGGAGGUCAUCUUUGGCCUCCCCUUGGAAAUAAUCAAUCCCUAUAUCGUGGAUCUGCCUUGCUUCCACCGUGCCACCUCGAUCACGAUGGAACUUCCCGUCGUCAUCUGUCGUGUGCCAAACGGUGUCGAGUUCACCGCACUCAAGACGUUGACUCUAUCAUCCUGCUACAUCAACAUCGUUGCCAUGCUCUCAUGUUGCCCACGCUUGCGCACGCUCCACCUCAAGCGUGUUGGCAUACAUGAGCACGACCUGACAAUCCACUCUCCGUCACUUCAGGAGAUUGUAGUGGAUGGGAAUUCAUGGAUAGACCAUGUAGACAUCGUUGCCCCCAUGCUUAAGAAAUUUACCAUGUCCUUUGCCACAAUGGAGGAGUCCAAAAUUUUCUUCUAA